rnacentral:tRNA from 1 species
GGUGCUGUGGCACAGUGGGUUAAUGCCCUGGCCUAAAGUGCCAGCAUCCCAUAUGGGUGCUGGUACGAGACCUGGCAGCUCCA